GAAAGCGGUACCAAUCUUUUGCAAACUAAGAAUACCGGAAAUGAUUUCAAUCUACCAGUGAGACUGCGGGGGAUAAGCUCCGUAGUCAAGAGGGAAACAGCCCAGACCACCAGCUAAGGCUCCUAAAUAAAAGCUAAGUGGCAAAGGAGGUGAAAAUGCAGUGACAAUCAGGAGGUUUGCCUAGAAGCAGCCACCCUCUAAGGAGUGCGUAAUAGCUCACUGAUCAAGCGUUUUUGCGCCGAAAAUGACCGGAACUAAGUUUUUUGCCGAAGCUGUGGCUACAUCACACAGAUGAUGUAGGGUAGAGGAGCGUUCCGUCCAGGGGGAAGCCAAGCGCGUAAGCCGCGGUCGACAGGACGGAAGUGAGAAUGUCAGAUUGAGUAACGUAAACAUUGGUGAGAAUCCAAUGCCCCGAAAACUCAAGGGUUCCUGCGCAAGGCUCGUCCGCGCAGGGUCAGUCAGGACCUAAGGUGAGGCCGAAAGGCGUAAUUGAUGGCAAGAAGGUUUAUAUUCCUUCACUAAUCUAGGCUUAGUCCUGAGGGACGAACAAAUAACACUCGGCACAACGGCCACACUUGGCAGUAUGGAUAAACCCGUUGCUGUUUGAUGCUAUUUAUUCCAAGAAAAGCUCAUUCGACUUUGAGUCUAGAUUACCUGUACCGUAAACCGACACAGGUGAGUGGGUUGAAUAAACUAAGGGGAGCGAGAUAACUCUCUCUAAGGAACUCGGCAAAUUGGCUCUGUACCUUCGGAAGAAAGAGUGCCCCUCAGGGGGCCGCAGUGAAGAGAUCCAGGCGACUGUUUACCAAAAACACAGGUCUCCGCAAAGUCGUAAGACGAUGUAUGGGGGCUGACACCUGCCCAGUGCCAGAAGGUUAAAGAAGUUGGUCAAUCUUUGAUGAAGCUAACAACUGAAGCCCUGGUGAACGGCGGCAGUAACUAUAACUGUCCUAAGGUAGCGAAAUUCCUUGUCGGGUAAGUUCCGACCCGCACGAAAGGUGUAACGAUCUGCGUACUGUCUCGGAGAGAGACUCGGCGAAAUAGACUUGUCUGUGAAGAUGCGGACUACCUGCACCUGGACAAAAAGACCCUAUGAAGCUUUACUGUAGCUUGAUAUUGGCUCCGGGCUUUGUUUGCGCAGGAUAGGUGGGAGGCGUUGAAAGUUUUCUUGCGGGAAGAUUUGAGCCGUUGGUGAGAUACCACUCUAACAAUGCUAGGAUUCUAACCCUAUGUCGUUAUCCGGCUAGGGGACAGUUUCAGGUGGUCAGUUUGACUGGGGCGGUCGCCUCCUAAAAGGUAACGGAGGCGUGCAAAGGUUCCCUCAGGCUGGUUGGAAAUCAGUCGUAGAGUGUAAAGGCAUAAGGGAGCUUGAUUGUGAGACAUACAAGUCGAACAAAGACGAAAGUCGGCCUUAGUGAUCCGGCGGUACCGAGUGGAAGGGCCGUCGCUCAACGGAUAAAAGUUACUCUAGGGAUAACAGGCUGAUCUCCCCCAAGAGUUCAUAUCGACGGGGAGGUUUGGCACCUCGAUGUCGGCUCGUCGCAUCCUGGGGCGGUAGUACGUCCCAAGGGUUGGGCUGUUCGCCCAUGAAAGCGGCACGCGAGCUGGGUUCAGAACGUCGUGAGACAGUUCGGUCCAUAUCCGGUGUAGGCGUUAGAGUAUUGCGAGGAUCUCUUCUUAGUACGAGAGGACCGGAAGAGACGUACCUCUGGUGUGCCAGUUAUCGUGCCAACGGUAGACGCUGGGUAGCCAUGUACGGUUAGGAUAACCGCUGAAAGCAUCUAAGUGGGAAGCCAGCCUCAAGAUGAGUACUCUUACCAUAGUAAAUGGUUAAGGUCACGGCAAGACUAGCCGUUUGAUAGGUACCAAGUGUAUGUACAGUAAUGUAUUUAGCUGAGGUAUCCUAAUAGACCGAAUGCUUGACUUA
rnacentral:rRNA from 1 species